rnacentral:rRNA from 1 species
CUGGAAUUGCUAGUAAUCACAGGUCAGCAUACUGUGGCGAAUACGUUCCCGGGCCUUGUACACACCGCCCGUCACACCAUGAGAGUUGAGAAUACCCGAAGCCCAUGUCAAAGUGGUCGAAGGUAGGCUUGAUGAUUGGGUGAAGUCGUAACAAGGUAUC